AUAUCUGAGUACAGUUGGUGGAAAGGACUUGGGGGAUGGAGUCCGUCGGGUCAUGAUGGCGACUGCCACGCACCAUGUAUGGAGCAACUACAGCCUUCACGGAAAGAAGGGGAAGAAGCCUCUCAAGAAAAUGACAUUAUACAAUUUCAUAUUACGGGCAGUUAUGGCCUCCAGGCCGAAAGAUACAAUGUUGGACGUGGCUGUCCAGGUGCAGGAGACAUUGAAGCAUGCCCCUGCCCGAUGUAAAAAGGUACCUACAGAAGCUCCAGCCCCUCUGUCGAUCUCUCCAACAGAUGAGGAUCUUUAACCAACUUCAAUCCAUAAAUGUUGCCGGACUCCAUCCUUGAUUUUGGGACAGUGAAAAAGCACUAAAGUUGUUUAUGGAUCCGCUGCUCCUAAGUAAUUAGAAUGGGUUGUAUGUAGAGAACGCAUAUCACUGUAUGUACACUGUAUAUGCACUUAACAAAUAAAGCCUUCUUUGUCAUGGUUCCGUGUUCCUGUCUGUUUCCCUUGUUGGGCCGCCAGAUGGCGGCACUUCUGUUUUGUGUCCUGCUUGUACCCUGUGUAAUUGUAUGAUUGUCUUCAAUUGUUCAAUUAUUGGUUCCUGGUUGUCUCGUUUUCCCUUCCCUCUCUGUGGCCUGAUUGUUCAUGGUGCCCUCCUGUGUCUCGUCAGUGUCUGUUCUAUUUAAGUUCCUUCUUCCUUGACUCAGGUGCUGGAUCCUUGGUUGUGUUUGGUCGCUCAUGUUCCUGCCUUGUGUGUUCCCUGCCAUGUUCUGUGUUCCAUGCGCUUUUGGAUUUUUGGUUUUCCUGUGUUCCCUGUGUUUCUGAAGUUUUCCUUUGUUUUGAAAAGUUGCCCUGCGAGGCCUUUUGUUCCCUUUUUGUUCUUACCUUUUGGAGUUUGAGUUUUUCCCCCUCUGCAUUUGGGUCCUAACCCCCCACGCACCCUGACAUUCUUAUCGGUAUUAUCUAAGAAACAAAAUUUGUUUCUUACUGAAUAAUGUUCAGUUUUAAAGCACUUGUUUUUAGUUCUUGUUGGUGCUACAGAAAUUCAGUAAUGUUGCAUGUGAUGGUUUUUAACUUCCCUUAAAACAAAGGUCAUACCAAAUGGGAGUUUAUUUGGUGAUUGAUUUUUUUCCAAGUUGCUUGAACAUUACUUGGAAUAAAAAGAGAAGUUACCGCAAGUUAUCCAUAUACAUUUCUCACUAAUGUUAGAUUUACAUUGCCAGUUGCUGAAUCACGAAAAUUUCAUCUCUUGCAGGGUUGUUGAUGACAAGUCAAAGCUCCCACACAUGGCCUUAUGACUGUUGCCCCAGUGAAGAACCCGAGGUCCAGCCUUCCCCACUCAAGACAUGCCUGAGCCAAGAGUGACUGCACGGGAGGCCUGUGACUUUGGGCAGUGUGAUUUGGAACUGUAUAGUACAUAAGACUCUAUUGAGCUCUUAUAACCAUAUUAAAUAGCUAACGUGGAAAGCAUUUUUGAAAAUUAAGUAACAUGAAAAAAAUGAAUGUGACAUGUCUUUAAGGGUGAUUGCAAGCCCUUAAAGUCUUAAAUUGUCUUAAGUUUAUUUAUGUUCAUAAAAUUGUCUGACAUCAUGACAGUUGAAUAUAUCAUGGUGUAUUUAUCUGUGGUUACAAUGUGUUGGUAUUUGAAUGGUAAAAGCCUGCAAUGUGUCCUUUUCUUGGACCAAAAUAAACAUUUGGACAAAUGUCAGUGUUGUCAUUUUAGAUAACUGUAAAAAUUAAAUUGUAAAAGAGUACAA